AGACGGGUCGUCCAAUGGCAGGACUUGGGACUUUGGAUCCCACUAUCCAGGUUCGAAUCCUGGCCCGUCUGCCA
rnacentral:tRNA from 1 species